UUCGCAACAGCAACCGCCCAAGCGAGUCAACACGCUCGAAAGUAGCAAGGAAAGUAGAAAUGAAGUAGCCUUCUACUUCCCUUCUACUUUUGUUGCUUAAAAUCAGAAGAAUGUAGAAACAUGUGGGUUCCAGGAAAGAGCAAAAAAUGAGUUCUUGAGUGUACACACACGCACACGCGACGACUCACGCUUACGUUCUUGUUCUACGCCCCUCCCCCUUCUCACUCGCCCCACAGAUCUAUUUUUAGAUCAUCACUCACUUCCAUCGACGGCGGUCGACGUGACCGAUGUGUGUCGUCGCGUGUGUGUUGUCGAUUUGGUCAGAAAAACUUUUUCUUCACACCAAAUCUCUGACAUAGAGCGUCGGCGUACCGAUUGAACCAUCGCGACUUUGAUCAGUGCGCGUGGUUAAAACGACCUUUUGUAUUGUGUUGUACGUAGCGUGCGCGCCAAAAUUUUAAGAGUGCGCGGAGAGUGAAUGUGGUUUUUGGGGGUGGGGGAAUGAGAUACAGAGACAAAUUUCGCUGCACAUUAACACAUACAUUCUCACUGCACGGGUUGAACUGCGAAUGCUCAGUUCUGAGAGAAUAUACUCGAGCGCUCGCGCAUGUGUGCAAGCAAGCGCGGUAUAGAGGAUAGAGGGAGACAAACGAUUAUUUUGCUCCAAGCUUUCUACUUUUGUCCCGUUGGGCGUUAUGUAAUUUUAACAUUGUUUCAACACGACAAUAAGACUUUCGGAAUGAAGGAAAUCGUACACAAAAUUUCAUAUUGAUGAGAUGCACUAAAGACUGGUUGCAAUAAAUUUAUUUAAAGUGUUGCAUGCGACUUUGCGAUGAGAGAGCAUUUGACUUUCGCCAACGCAAAACAUGCAAUAGAAAGUUUUAAAUAUAGCGAAACAGCUCCAUGAAUUUUCACGAGAUAGUUUUUUUGUUAUGCUUCCCUACCAACAUUAAACGGCUUUGAAGGCAUUCAAAAAGCAUUUAAGGCCUUAGUCGCCUUAGAAGGCGAAUAAAGGUUUCAACCGAAACUUUCACGGCUGUAAUGGGUUCGCUGUCCGAAUAAUCCGAAUCUACGUAGGCGUGAUGUACAGAUAGGUGAACGCACUUUUGAAGUCGUCCCAGAAUUCACCUAUCUUGGGUCAAAGGUCAGCAACGACAACAGUAUGGAAGCUGAGUUGCGCGCAAGGAUGCUGGCUGCCAACCGGUCAUUCUACAGCCUGAAAAAGCAGUUCACCUCAAAGAACCUGUCGCGACGGACGAAGCUGGGACUAUAUAGCAAGGUCUAUUGAGGAUAGAGGUCGAAUUAUAGCUUGUUUCUGGUCUGACAUUUUGAAUCCUGUUUUGACAGUUCAGUAAGAAAGUGUUUACAAAUAAUUGCAGCAGAUGGGUGCUGUUCUUUUAGCUCGCAUUUUUUAGUUAAAAUACAGAAAAAACAUGUGAAAUAAUACAAAUCCUCCGUGUUACUCGUGCUGAUAACUUCAUAUGCAGCUUCGUGUACAUAUCUAGCUCCAUGUAAUCACAGGUCACGGAAACUAACUCCAAUAACUUCCAAAAGCUCCAAUCCUCAAAUCCUGCUCUUAUCUCACUUUUUCUUUCUCAUUGGCCUGCUUACGAUUGAGCCCAGCGCCGUUGAAUGGCCGGGACUACUAUUAUUUUAUCAGGAGGCUCGAUGCCUUCAGCGUCCAUCAAUGCAGGCAUCCGAUCACCGACAGACCUUGCUUAGCCUGAUUCCGGAUCCACCUAGUACCAAACACAGGACCGACCACUUUCUUGGAGGGCAUUACUACGGCAUUUUCAUUACAUGCCCCAGCCAUCGUAUCAUAGGCCCUGACUACCGUUAGGAUAUCCGAUUCACCGUACACCUCAGAAAGCUUAGCAUUGUUGAUUUGUAUGGCAUUAGUUAUACCUAAAAAUUGGAAGCAGUUUGUAAUCAGGAUAAUGGUUUACCUUCCGCAAGAGUGUCAGGAAGCGGUGAAUUGUGCCAUAUGCUUAUCAUUAACCUCGAAAAUUUUACUGACAGCGUAUAAUGGUUAACAACUGCGCGUAGCUGUAAGUUUAUACCGGUUUUAUUUAUUUUCUAAUUUAUGAUUCCAUACGUGGCCACGUUAGGAAGAUUUGCCCAGGAAGGAACAAACUGCUUAGAUAUAUUGGCAAAAACUGGUGCGUUUUAGCUCAUCUUGAGAAUAGGAAAAAAGAAGUAUGCAAAAUAAUGCAUUUCUAUGAGAUACUCAUCGUAACCAGUGGCGGAUCUACCGGUAGACGGACUAGGCGGUCGCCUGGGGCCCCGCCGAUUUAGGGGACCCGUAGUUCUGAAGUCUAUAGUAUGCCGUAUGGACAGAGUAAUAGCGGCAAUGGCCCCGGAAGGAUGGACGUUGUGGCCCCAAGGCUGGCAAAUCAUUUUCACCUCCCCCCCCCUCCCCCCUCCACUGCCAGCAAAUUUUAGAGCCUGUGACUGAUUAUCGACUGACCCCCUAGAACACCAUUUACAAUUGACAGGGGGCCUCAACUAGUCUUACCGCCUAGGGCCCCCGACACCCUUAAUCCGAGCCACUGAUCGUAACACCUUAAUUUUGGAUCUUCCAUUACUUACUUACUUACUCUUUAACAAAAUGGUAAUUUUUCGGAUGAGUGAGUGAGAAAAUACAGUUGGUGAACGGGUAAAGUUUCUUGAUUGUUUUUGCUUUAUUUGUACAUUUCAGUGUAUUGGUAACACAAUGCACUUUCAUGCAUUAAAUAACAAUUUAAAAAGUUCUCAUGUUUUAUUACCGUAUUAUUCUAAAUAAUUUCUAAUACAGCGGAAUACCUUACGUGCUAGCGUUUUUGCAUGUUUUAAUUCAGUGUUUUACAUCAGUGUGAAAUCCUUAAAUAUACUGACAAACCUUAACAAGUGAUUUACGAUUAUAGAUCAUAUUGUUGUUACAAAAUGGUUAUUUAUACAUGAAAAUGAGGUAAUGUGGACUAUUUUACAUAUUUGCUAUAAUACAUUUCAAAAUAUUACGGGUUAUUAAAGCAAAAAAUCAAUAGUUCAUUACAAUAAUACAGAAUAAAAAAAAUAAUACGUGGAAUACGGCAGGUCCGUUCUUAUUAAAUAUAAAAGAGCAUAUCAGUAUUUUCUUACUACAA